AUUUAGAUAGUUUAUUAAAAAUAUUGAUUUGUGGAGUCAGGGAUGUAAUUUUUUUUACUUUAAAUA
rnacentral:tRNA from 1 species